UACACCGGAGACCGACUCGCGGGUAGCUGACCGCGUUGUGAUGAGGAGCUGGCAAGGCUGCACAAGGCCUCCUACCUCGGAGGUCAGAUCCCAACUUAUAAUGGCAGGAAGAGCGCGUACACGUCCAGGCUGCUGCUGUUUACCGUUCAACGAGUUUCAUAUCACCUUUCUCGACGGAGAUGAUGUUCCGGUACAGACGGGCAUGAUAGUACUUUCAAAGUGGUGAUCAGGUUCGCUGCGAGGUCCGAUAUUCACCGUAUCGAGCAGUACAUAGCUGCAAGGCAGGCAGAGGAUCAUCGGGAGGCCCUGCAGAUUAUUCACAUUGUCCUGGUGAGCUGCCAACUGCUAGGUAGAGUACAUUGAUCUCUAGGUUUGUCGUGUAUUAUGAGACGUCGGUGAGAAAUUACUACAUUGAUAUGCUUUUUGUCCCCAUGAUUGUUUCACAGGUACGAGUCGUAUGGCCAAUCCUUCUCGCUGGACCUGGGGUGGAGGGGGUCCAUCGGUGAUGGAGUGGACAGUUGGCGCAGGUUUUAUCAGAGCAUAAGGCCUACUUAGGUACAAAGUCUCUGCACGAAGAAAAGAAAUGCCAACAGUUUUAGUUGGCCGUUGUUGAAGUUUCAACAUAUCAAUCCAUCAUCUUGUUAAUGUUUGGAUGAAAAACAAUGAUCGUGAAAUAUUGGUCUGAUUACUAAAUGGUGUGUUCUGAAGCCUCACAUGUAGA